GACGAACGCCGGCGGCGUGCUUAACACAUGCAAGUCGAACGGAAAGGCCCUGCUUUUGUGGGGUGCUCGAGUGGCGAACGGGUGAGUAACACGUGAGUAACCUGCCCUUGAUUUUGGGAUAACUUCAGGAAACUGGGGCUAAUACCGGAUAGGAGCUCCUGCUGCAUGGUGGGGGUUGGAAAGUUUCGGCGGUUGGGGAUGGACUCGCGGCUUAUCAGCUUGUUGGUGGGGUAGUGGCUUACCAAGGCUUUGACGGGUAGCCGGCCUGAGAGGGUGACCGGCCACAUUGGGACUGAGAUACGGCCCAGACUCCUACGGGAGGCAGCAGUGGGGAAUAUUGCACAAUGGGCGGAAGCCUGAUGCAGCAACGCCGCGUGCGGGAUGACGGCCUUCGGGUUGUAAACCGCUUUCGCCUGUGACGAAGCGUGAGUGACGGUAAUGGGUAAAGAAGCACCGGCUAACUACGUG
rnacentral:rRNA from 1 species